UACGUAGGGGGCAAGCGUUGUCCGGAUUUAUUGGGCGUAAAGAGCGUGUAGGCGGCCAAACAGGUCAGCUGUGAAAACUCGAGGCUCAACCUCGAGACGUCGGUUGAAACCGUUUGGCUAGAGUCCGGAAGAGGAGAGUGGAAUUCCCGGUGUAGCGGUGAAAUGCGCAGAUAUCGGGAAGAACACCAGUGGCGAAGGCGGCUUACUGGUCCGGAACUGGACGCUGAGGUGGCGAAAAGCGUGGGGAGCAAACAGG
rnacentral:rRNA from 1 species